GAAAGUAUAGCUCAGUGGUAGAGCACAUGCUAAGUGUACACGAGGUCCUGGGUUCAAUCCCCAGUACCUCCA
rnacentral:tRNA from 1 species